UACGUAGGGCGCAAGCGUUGUCCGGAAUUAUUGGGCGUAAAGAGCUCGUAGGCGGCUUGUCACGUCGGAUGUGAAAGCCCGAGGCUUAACCUCGGGUCUGCAUUCGAUACGGGCUAGCUAGAGUGUGGUAGGGGAGAUCGGAAUUCCUGGUGUAGCGGUGAAAUGCGCAGAUAUCAGGAGGAACACCGGUGGCGAAGGCGGGUCUCUGGGCCGUUACUGACGCUGAGGAGCGAAAGCGUGGGGAGCGAACAGG
rnacentral:rRNA from 1 species